GACGAACGCUGGCGGCGUGCUUAACACAUGCAAGUCGAACGGAAAGGCCCUGCUUUUGUGGGGUGCUCGAGUGGCGAACGGGUGAGUAACACGUGAGUAACCUGCCCUUGACUUUGGGAUAACUUCAGGAAACUGGGGCUAAUACCGGAUAGGAGCUCCUGCUGCAUGGUGGGGGUUGGAAAGUUUCGGCGGUUGGGGAUGGACUCGCGGCUUAUCAGCUUGUUGGUGGGGUAGUGGCUUACCAAGGCUUUGACGGGUAGCCGGCCUGAGAGGGUGACCGGCCACAUUGGGACUGAGAUACGGCCCAGACGCCUACGGGAAGCAGCAGUGGGGAAUAUUGCACAAUGGGCGGAAGCCUGAUGCAGCAACGCCGCGUGCGGGAUGACGGCCUUCGGGUUGUAAACCGCUUUCGCCUGUGACGAAGCGUGAGUGACGGUAAUGGGUAAAGAAGCACCGGCUAACUACGU
rnacentral:rRNA from 1 species